UCAGAGAUAUUCACCCACGUGAUCUGCACAUGUAUCUGUAUGACCCUCUUAUUGCUGACAAACUCAGUAAUAACCAAUGAAACUUUUAGAAUGGUGGCGCGUGGUCGAGGGUGUUCUAAUCUAACUUACCCAUCUUGUGGCCAUUACAGAGAAUUACUAGCAACAAACUAGUUAACACAGUGACGUAAAAAGUUACUUGAUCACUUGGCACAACAGGGAACGCUCAGUCAUCUCUGUACUUACUGUUUUUUUAUAUGAUUAUCUUACAUUUAUGGCCUAGAAGUGUUUGUUAUGCAAUAUUUACUGUAAUGACUUUACUACAACUAAUUAAUACUACUAUUUAAAACUUUACUGAGCGUUUUGACUUGUAGACAAUUCAUGUUACUUCACUGCAGUAGGAAUGGAAGUCUGUCGUCAUUCCCCUGUAUUAAAAGAAAUUGGUGUCUUGGAUGGAAAUGGAGAGGGAGACAAGAGGUAUAAAAAUAUGAAGAUGGCUGAAAACUGGCCUGUGGAUAUUUAUGUACUUGUCUAUUAGGGAGGGGCCAUUAUUUGUAAACAUAUGUGUAGUAUUAUACUAUUACUGGUAUAUUACAUUCCAUGUCACGUGAGAGUGGAGUUUAAAACUAAAUGAAGAGAAUUGUCUGAGAAAGGCAAUCAAAUUAGGCAUUGUGUUGAACGUUUAUGAACAUAAGUGCACAUGUCAUUGCAGAGCGACUACACGUCAGAGUCUACUGAAACACUAAGAUUCCAUAACAUCUUUAAUACUGCGAAGGGAUGAGACUGUUUAUAUUCUUCGGUGCUGCUGUUUUGGCUAGCAACUUAGUUGUAAUGGGCUUAAUGUCAAUGUGCGAACAAUAACGUCAAUGAACUGAGAUAAGUAUACACUGUUAGACAUUCCUGUAAGUUCUACAGUUCUUUACCACAUACCAUACAGUAAGAUACUUUAAAAUGAUUAUACAGUAAUUAACUACAGUUGCCACUGCAUCAUGGGAUUUUGGUUGACGUCACACAGAGUUAAGAGUAUUUUGUAGCAUAAGCCGCGUGGCUCCAAGCAUGCAUUGCAUCAUGAAAUGUUGAACUGCCAUAAUAAAGAUGUUAAUACUUCAUGUUCAUCAACGAUCAGGAUUAACGUAGCAUGUAUAAUGUGUGUUUAUGUUACCGGUAGUUUGUUGAAUGUGUGUCUUAUUUAACUCUCGCGUUACAUUUUACUGUAUGUUGCACUUUGUUUUCAUGAAACCCUCACUGCGGGUUGUGUGCGAUAGAGUGACAUCCCGGUCAGUGAUAACAGUUACCUGCUGACUAGCAACUGCAUUAUGUACAAGUGUAAACUUUCUUGUGAUUAUUCCAUUUGGACCACUUCAUCUGCAAACCAAAACAGCUCCCUUUUUCCUCAUACAACUCAUCAGCACCGGAAUAAAAAUAUUGAGAAAAUAUUUUUUAAAUAGUAACUCUCUGUUUAAAGUGUGAUGUCAAACAAAAUCCCAUGAUGCGGUGGAAACUAUAUUUAAUUAAAGUAUAAUCACUUUAUAGUUUGUUACUGCAUGCUAUGUGGCAAAUAACUAUAGAACUUACAGUAAUGUCUAAGUGUCCUGUAAUGUAUGUUCUCAGCAUGCAUUGUAAUAUUCAUGGAUCCACAGCAUUUAAGCAUUUCGGUUUAAAUAACAAGAGACGUAUAUAACGAGACAGAUGCAAAAAAAAAAAAAAACGAUACAAGAAAGAAUGAUCAUAGAAAUCUAUUGUGUAGAAAUACCCAACACUAACAAUGUGGCACCGCUACAGAAAAGCAUACAUGUAGAUUUGGUAGUAUCAGUAUGUUUCCAUUGAAGGAAGCUCAUUGUAGAGGUCAAGAGACAGGAGCCAAUUGUUGCGUUCCUAGAGUGUCACCUGAUUCAGGUAAGCUAAUCGACUCGUAUUGAGCAAAUAAUGAUUCAUAGCUGGUGUAUGAGUAUAUUGUAUCAAGUGGUGCAUGACUCUAAUAUCCAAUUCAGACUACUCACCACCCACUUUUUUUUUUAUUUUGUUUUAUUUUUAUUUUUUUUUACAAUAACUUACUGACAGUCUUGCCAGUAUGUUACUGCACAUUCAAGUUUGCAGUCACUUACUGGCAAGUGUUGCCAGUAAGUGACUGUAAAUUCAAAUUUAAAUGUAAGCCUUUACUAUAAAAUUGGAAGGAUUUUGCUGUAAAUGUGGUCCAGUAUUAGACUGUAUUUUUACUAUGAAGUAUAUUACUGUAAAACGCAAUGCACCAUGGGAGCAAGAGCAAAAAAAUACAGCACUACUGUAAUCCUUAAUUUUUACUGUAAAUUGUGUUGUAUCAUGGGAAGGAGGACAGAAAAGACAGCGGGAAAUAUAAGAGCUGCCAUGGUUUUCUUCCCCGGAAAGAAUUUUUUUUUUCUGCCAGCCAGCAACUUGGACAACUUCAAUUCGACAUCUGCCACCUGAAGAUAACUUGCCAGUUUGAUGUCUGAAACUGAUGUUGCACUUGCAGCCACACAGCCCACGCCAGCUAUAACGUGCAGCUGACCAUCUUGCCCGACACCCCACGUUUGAUUUUCAAUGAGAAUAAAAUAUGGGCAGCAACAUCUACUACUGUAUCUUUCAUACAGAGUUGGGAGUGGCAGCUGCUAUCAAAAUGAAUACACAGUGUUUUUCUAGAAGCUGCGCUGACAGAAAUCCAGAGAGGGGAACCAAAGCUAGGAAAGAUCAGGCACCAAGCAAGAAGAGCGGCAGGAUGGUGCAAAACAAGGCUGCAUCUCGAAUCCACGUCAGCGCACUCAUCAAGAAGUUUGGUGAUUUCAAGUGGGACUUUGUGUGCUUUUACGCGCACCCACAAACACAUCCGUUGUGGUUCUUGAUAUAUAUAUAUUUUAUUUUUAUUUUCACUUUACAGUUGUUAAAGUCACUAGUGUUAAGCUUGUCCAAUGCUGUUAGACUUUCAAUAAAAAAUGUUUGAAAAUGAACUACCUUUCUUUUGUCUUUGUCAUUGAUGAUGAUGAUGGUGGUGAUUAUCAUAAUAUGAUAUAUAUAUAUAUAUAUAUAUAUAUAUAAAAUUAUGAUCAAUAACUGGUGAUAAAAAUAAAUAUUGAUGGAUAAAUAAAAAUAAAUAUUGAUGGAUAAAAUAUUAUACAAACUAUAAAUAUUCAUUUAUUAUUGUAAAACAAAUUACAGUAUAUUACUGGAUCACUCAAUAUUACAGUAUUUUAUUUGAGGCAGGCAUUUAUUUGUCUCAAGUGGAUGACGCAACUAGCUAAUUGUUUUUGUUUUCAAUC